UACGUAGGGGGCUAGCGUUAUCCGGAAUUACUGGGCGUAAAGGGUGCGUAGGUGGUUUCUUAAGUCAGAGGUGAAAGGCUACGGCUCAACCGUAGUAAGCCUUUGAAACUGGGAAACUUGAGUGCAGGAGAGGAGAGUGGAAUUCCUAGUGUAGCGGUGAAAUGCGUAGAUAUUAGGAGGAACACCAGUUGCGAAGGCAGCUCACAAAGCCAAGAUUGACGCUGAGGCACGAAAGUGUGGGGAUCAAACAGGAUUAGAUACCCGUGUAGUCCCUGAG
rnacentral:rRNA from 1 species